rnacentral:piRNA from 1 species
UAAAUUAGGGUUAGAAUACAGGCAGC